rnacentral:rRNA from 1 species
GCUAAUACCGCAUAAUGUCGCAAGACCAAAGUGGGGGACCUUCGGGCCUCAUGCCAUCAGAUGUGCCCAGAUGGGAUUAGCUAGUAGGUGGGGUAACGGCUCACCUAGGCGACGAUCCCUAGCUGGUCUGAGAGGAUGACCAGCCACACUGGAACUGAGACACGGUCCAGACUCCUACGGGAGGCAGCAGUGGGGAAUAUUGCACAAUGGGCGCAAGCCUGAUGCAGCCAUGCCGCGUGUAUGAAGAAGGCCUUCGGGUUGUAAAGUACUUUCAGCGGGGAGGAAGGCGAUAAGGUUAAUAACCUUGUCGAUUGACGUUACCCGCAGAAGAAGCACCGGCUAACUCCGUGCCAGCAGC